GCUUUAUAUGUUAUCUAGGUCUAGUUAAAUUAUUGGAAUAUAAAGAUUUAGUUUAGUUGUCAUAUUUUAUUGGGGCGAUAGAAGUACAAUUUAUAUUAACUACUUAAGUUUAGUACAGAGAUGUUUGGGAAUAGUUGGUAAUUGAUCCUUUUUAGAGAUUAUAAGACUAAGUU
rnacentral:rRNA from 1 species